rnacentral:precursor_RNA from 9 species
UGUAGCCGUCAGUUGAUGACUGCUCAAGGAGAAUAUCAGCAAGAUUGAUCUGGCUGUAUAUAAGUCCAGACCUAUCUGUCGAUAUUGCCUGCGGGCAGCUGCCUCUGCCUUAUUCCAAC